CCUACGGGGUGCAGCAGUAGGGAAUUUUCGGCAAUGGGGGGAACCCUGACCGAGCAACGCCGCGUGAACGAAGAAGUUAUUCGUAAUGUAAAGUUCUUUUAACAGGGAAGAAAGAGAAAUUUGACGGUACCUGAAGAAUAAGCUCCGGCAAACUACGUGCCAGCAGACGCGGUAAUACGUAGGGAGCGAGCGUUAUCCGGAAUUAUUGGGCGUAAAGGGUGCGUAGAUGGCAUAGUAAGUCUUUGGUAAAAAUGCUGGGCUCAACCCAGUAGGGCAAAAGAUACUGGAAAGCUAGAGUAUGACAGAGGCAAGUGGAACUACGUGUGUAGCGGUGAAAUGCGUAGAUAUAUGUAAGAACACCAGUGGCGAAGGCGGCUUGCUGGGUCGAUACUGACAUUGAGGCACGAAAGCGUGGGGAGCAAACAGGAUUAGAUACCCUAGUAGUC
rnacentral:rRNA from 1 species